rnacentral:tRNA from 1 species
GAGGGGCUGGCUCAAUGGUAGAGUGCUUGCCUUUCAUGCAUAAGGCACUGGGUUCGAUUCCUCAGCACCACA